rnacentral:rRNA from 1 species
AGCGAACGCUGGCGGCAGGCCUAACACAUGCAAGUCGAACGGAUCCUUCGGGAUUAGUGGCGGACGGGUGCGUAACACGUGGGAACGUGCCCUUUGGUUCGGAACAACUCAGGGAAACUUGAGCUAAUACCGGAUGUGCUCUUCGGGGGAAAGAUUUAUCGCCAUUGGAGCGGCCCGCGUCUGAUUAGCUAGUUGGUGAGGUAACGGCCCACCAAGGCGACGAUCAGUAGCUGGUCUGAGAGGAUGAUCAGCCACACUGGGACUGAGACACGGCCCAGACUCCUACGGGAGGCAGCAGUGGGGAAUCUUGCGCAAUGGGCGAAAGCCUGACGCAGCCAUGCCGCGUGAAUGAUGAAGGUCUUAGGAUUGUAAAAUUCUUUCAGCGGGGACGAUAAUGACGGUACCCGCAGAAGAAGCUCCGGCUAACUUCGUG